GAUGAACGCUGGCGGCGUGCCUAAUACAUGCAAGUCGAGCGAACGGACGAGAAGCUUGCUUUUCUGAUGUUAGCGGCGGACGGGUGAGUAACACGUGGAUAACCUACCUAUAUUACUGGGAUAACUUCGGGAAACCGGAUCUAAUACCGGAUAAUAUUUUGAACCGCAUGGUUCAAAAGUGAAAGACGGUCUUGCUGUCACUUAUAGAUGGUUCCGCGCUGCAUUAGCUAGUUGGUAAGGUAACGGCCUACCAAGGCAACGAUGCAUAGCCGACCUGAGAGGGUGAUCGGCCACACUGGAACUGAGACACGGUCCAGACUCCUACGGGAGGCAGCAGUAGGGAAUAUUGCGCAAUGGGCGAAAGCCUGACGGAGCAACGCCGCGUGAGUGAUGAAGGUCUUCGGAUCGUAAAACUCUGUUAUUAGGGAAGAACAUAUGUGUAAGUAACUGUGCACAUCUUGACGGUACCUAAUCAGAAAGCAACGGCUAACUACGUG
rnacentral:rRNA from 1 species